UUUGGGUACACUCUGAUGCCCUGGGUUCCGGCACCUAACUUGUGCCCACCCAAACCCCAACCUUGCUAAGAGCAGAAAGAUUCCAGGCGUCUUGGGGCAGUGGUGACUCACUGCAGCACCCCCUCCCCUUCGCCUAACUGCCGUCUCCGCCCACCCCCAAACCAUGUCAACAAAGCACGGCGGCUCUGGGAGCUUUGCUGGGGGCUAAAGGCGUUCAUCUUCGUCCUCGCAUCCCAGCAGGCUAACCCUAUCCCGUCCGAGUCUUCAAGCUUGCCUCGCUCCCCACCCGACCCUUCGGUUGAGCAGCGGAGAUAGAUGAGACAUCCCGAUGCGGGACUCUGGAGCCACUCACAGCAGCCCGUGGAGGGGGCACCCAAGAGCCCUGGGGUAUUUUAGUUCAUUCCAGCAAGCUCUGGCCGAGUGCUCAAGAUGCGCCUAGCACCUUAUGGAUGUGUGGAAAGCAACAGGUUCUAGUUCAAAAACAGCUCAAACACAGGGCAAAACCUCUACUCCAUCACAACCCACUUCAUCAGUCAAGAAAUCAGGGCUUCCCUGGUGGCCAAUGCAGGGGACAAGUGUUUGAGCCCUGGUCCGGGAAGAUCCCACAUGCUGUGGAGCAACUAAGCCUGUGCACCGCAACUACUGAGCCUGUGUGCCACAACUACUGAAGCCCGCGCGCCUAGAGCCCACGCUCCGCAACAAGAGGAGCCACCGCAAUGAGAAGCCCACGCACCGCAACGAAGAGUAGCCCC